CGCACUCGCGCUUCCAGGCCACAGUCUGUGCCCGCCGGCGGGGCCACCGGUCGGGGUGUGCGAGCUCUCCCCCUGAGUGGACGGUGUCUCGGCGAGCUCUUCAGGGCGAACAGAGCCUCUCGGGAAACAGGCUCACCCGCUAGGUGGAGAUGGAACCAGGGCCUCACACACGCCAGGCCAGCACCUUUCCUCUGAGCUGCAUCCCCUCAUUUCUCAACUGUCCUGUGUCGUCCACCAAAAACUAGUGAGAAGGGAACUGUCGUGAUCAAAGUAAAAAGUGGGCCAGACACACAGGUGAAUGUCAUGGCAAGGGCGCAGCCAUCGCUGAACUGUCACAGUUUCAGUUUGAGGUGACAGAAAAAGGGGUGGAAAUGGAUAGUGGGUGGCUGUUCAGCU
rnacentral:lncRNA from 1 species